CCCUUUGUGAGGCGCGGGAGAGAUGUGCACCCCACAUCUCUUUGCUUGAGUCCUGGUCCGCAAGAUGGGUGCUUGUUCGUGUGCCCCACCCCACCCCCACGCCCGAGGCCGGGUGCGGCAACUCCGCCCGCCAGCCGCUCCUGCAUUAAAAUUUCAUGGGCGCUGCAGUAAACGCGAAGACGACGCCGGUUGCGCUGGGGGGCCGUAGGGAGGGAGGCUGCGGACCAGAGCGGGGAGGAGUUUGCGAGGGGAGGCGCUUGGGAGGACUCCCCCAGUUCUGUUAAGAGCUGGGCACAAAGAGCCCUUUGCACUCCAGCCGCAGGAGCGAGGAGGAGCCGAGCUAGAUGCACAUGGGCGUGGGGACUCCGGUACAACACCAACCCACAAGACCUGGGGCGUCCAGCGCAGCCUCAAACCCAGGGCAUCUCUGCACUCUCAUCGCGACGUCGCUCUGGAUGCUGUUUGCAUAUCCUUGGGGAGUCACUGCUUUGGCACAACAGUCCUGCGAGGUGCUGGAAUUCCGUCUGUUCUCAUCACACGGACAUGGCUGAUCUGUCUCAGUGGUACCUGGGGGCAAAGCAGGGAGCCGGGCGGUGGAGGCCAACAUUGUUACCAAGUUGGCUCUGUCUCAACACAGGGACUGAGCCUUCUGAGCCUCAAGCUUUCUCUCUACACUAUGAGACUGAAUCAGCCUGACUCUGGAACUAGGGUUCCCUGGAAACCUCCACUGUCCUCACAAUGACCAGGAUUCAGUGCACGCUGUGACGGGGUCACUGUGGGUUUGUUCACAGAGUUCCUGCUGGUUCCCAGGUGGUGGA
rnacentral:lncRNA from 1 species